GAAACCCAAAAGAUCGAAUGGGGAGAUUCAUCGUCAGCUCAUUUUGUAUAUGUAUAAGUUAUGAUGCGGGUUACUACUUGUAGUAUUGCCUGCACAUUCUUGUAUAUUUAGUUGCAAGAUGUUGUCGGCGUGCACUUCUCCCCUAGUAGGACGUCGCGACCCGUUGGGUGUCGGUCUACGGCCCAAGUGAUAGCCUUUAAUGUAAUUUAAACAUUGAAGAUCCUUGGUGUUUUCUGCGGCGGUACUUGGCAGUAUUCGUACGGUAUUUAGCCGCUAAAUUUAUGCGUCCAUAUCUGUCACAAGCGAGGCUAAUUACUGAUAGUACGGACCUAGUGCCGUCGUUGGUAUUGGCCAGCUGUUGGUUGAUGGUAUUCUAGGACUGGCUAAAAUUAAUUACCGGUCGGCGACGCUACUGCUUUGGGUACUUUCAGGACCCGUCUUGAAACACGGACCAAA
rnacentral:rRNA from 1 species